rnacentral:tRNA from 1 species
GCCCAGGUGGCGGAAUGGCAGACGCAGCGGACUUAAAAUCCGCUUACCGCAAGGUAGUGUGGGUUCGAGUCCCUCCCUGGGCACCA